rnacentral:rRNA from 1 species
UUUGCGGGUCCGAGUUGUAAUUUGAAGAAGCGACUUUGGUGUGGGCUCUUGUCUAUGUUCCUUGGAACAGGACGUCACAGAGGGUGAGAAUCCCGUGCGAUGAGAUGCCCAUUGCCGUGUAAAGCGUUUUCGACGAGUCGAGUUGUUUGGGAAUGCAGCUCUAAGUGGGUGGUAAAUUCCAUCUAAAGCUAAAUAUUGGCGAGAGACCGAUAGCGAACAAGUACAGUGAUGGAAAGAUGAAAAGAACUUUGAAAAGAGAGUGAAAAAGUACGUGAAAUUGUUGAAAGGGAAGGGCUUGAGAUCAGACUUUGUUUUUCCAUGGUGUUCUUUCGGGGGCACCCUCUGGGUCUACAGGGCCAGCAUGGGUUUUGCGGGCGAGAUAAUAGCAUAGGAAUGUGGCUCUGCUUCGGUGGAGUGUUAUAGCCUUUGUUGAUGUCGCCA